GCGAACGCUGGCGGCAGGCCUAACACAUGCAAGUCGAACGAACUCUUCGGAGUUAGUGGCGGACGGGUGAGUAACACGUGGGAACGUGCCUUUUGGUUCGGAAUAGCUCAGGGAAACUUGUGCUAAUACCGAAUGUGCCCUUCGGGGGAAAGAUUUAUCGCCAUUAGAGCGGCCCGCGUCUGAUUAGCUAGUUGGUGAGGUAACGGCUCACCAAGGCGACGAUCAGUAGCUGGUCUGAGAGGAUGACCAGCCACACUGGGACUGAGACACGGCCCAGACUCCUACGGGAGGCAGCAGUGGGGAAUCUUGCGCAAUGGGCGAAAGCCUGACGCAGCCAUGCCGCGUGAAUGAUGAAGGUCUUAGGAUUGUAAAAUUCUUUCACCGGGGACGAUAAUGACGGUACCCGGAGAAGAAGCCCCGGCUAACUUCGUG
rnacentral:rRNA from 1 species